CAAAACAGCCUGGUCCCUGCACGCAGCUUCCCUUCCUGGGGCCUGCUGGGGAAGCACCGGCGGCUUGUGGUGGCUGUGGUUUGGUGCUCGGGACCCACACGUAAAAGGAGCUCAUUCUGAGGCAGGGGCAGAUGAGAGUGGUGGCUGUAAAUCACCCUCUAUGCAAUGGCUCGUCAUAAAGGAUAUGGAGUGAAAUUAGAGGAGGCACGAGAAGGAAAGCCCGUGAUGAACAAGGCAGGGGCUGCUGCAGCGUGAUUGAAGACAGGCUGGGAACGUGGGAGAAGCCGCUGGAAAUUGGCUUGGGCUGGAGGUCUGAUUCUGGCGUGCCAAGCCAGAAGAGCCCUGAGCGAAGCCUUCUGCUCUGCCUUGGGGAGUAGGAUAGGGAAUAUGUAUGCAGAAAACUUCCUGAGACGGUGCCUCAUAGUGCCAUCUACAUGGAAUGUGAAGUCAGAAUGUCUAAAUCCUGGCUCCAUUGGGUUUUGGCUGUGUGACUUUGGGUGUUGGUGGAAACAUCACAUCCUCAGAGAACCUUCCCUGGGACAAUCCCAUCCGCGGCAGCCACUACCUACUUGUCACUGAUAUCCGCUGGGAGCUACUGAGGACUCCUCAUUACCCUCCCUUGGAAGACUUUGCCUGCAAUGGAGCCAACACAGUGGAGAGCAGAGCUGAGAAAUGAACAGACAACUCCUGAUGCAUCAUUUGAGCGCCUGGAUUUACCCACGCCUGAAACUAUUAUAUCCUUGGACUUUUCAACCAUGUAAGUUACUAUAAUUCCUUUUUUGUUAAAGCUAACUUGAGUUGGGUCUCUAUCACUUGCCAUCAACAAUUGACCAGGUACUUAGUACAUAAAGAAAGAGUGAAUGAACAAAUUCAAUUCUGUAAGUAUUUAUCAUCUCCUGUAUGACAGGUACUGUUUUAAGUCCCAGCGAAAGAGGCAGAGGAUCGGCAGAAAUGACGGCCUCCCUUGAGAGCCAAGCCUGUGGCCUGACAACCUAGAAUUUGGGUCAAUCCAUCCAAUUAUGGUGGCUGCUUAGAAAUAUCCCUUUUCCUCCCAACCUUUUCCCAUAAACAUAAUUAUGGCUCCUGCCAGUGCUAAGGCAUGGCCCAUGGACCCACUAAAACCCAUGGUCACGUUAGCUCCUAAGGCCUGGUGGCUUGGUUCUAUCUGGUUAUCAGAUGCAAACUUCAUCACAGCAGGGAUUUGGGCUAGACAUUAGAUGAAUACUGUGGUACCAGAUGGUGUUUCUGAAGAAGGUUGUCCUAUUUUUGCAGUUUAAGGAUUUGAUAAUAAAUCUGCCUGGCAGGCCUCAGAUGUGAUUUGGCCUCGAAA